rnacentral:rRNA from 1 species
UACGAAGGGGGGCUAGCGUUGCUCGGAAUCACUGGGCGUAAAGGGUGCGUAGGCGGGUCUUUAAGUCAGGGGUGAAAUCCUGGAGCUCAACUCCAGAACUGCCUUUGAUACUGAAGAUCUUGAGUUCGGGGAGAGGUGAGUGGAACUGCGAGUGUAGAGGUGAAAUUCGUAGAUAUUCGCAAGAACACCAGUGGCGAAGGCGGCUCACUGGCCCGAUACUGACGCUGAGGCACGAAAGCGUGGGGAGCAAACAGGG